GGAUGCGAUCAUACCAGCACUAAAGCACCGGAUCACAUAAGAACUCCGAAGUUAAGCGUGCUUGGGCGAGAGUAGUACUAGGAUGGGUGACCUCCUGGGAAGUCCUCGUGUUGCAUUCC
rnacentral:rRNA from 1 species